AACGCACCUUGCACCCCUUGGCAUUCCGAGGGGUACACCCGUUUGAGUGUCGUGAAAUCAUCAAAAAACCUUUCUUCUUUUGAUCUUUUCUUGGUCAGAAAAAGGAUUUUUGGACUUGGAGGUUCCAUGCUUGCUUUCAAAAGCGAAAGUGAGCUCCUCUCAAAUAAAUUAGUGGGGUCCGCUUUGCUGAUCCUUGAUGUGAUAAGAUGUUUCUACAUUUUGGAUUUAGCACUGUCCCUUGGAUGCCUGCUCCUAACCGUCUUUUGGACAAUGAUGGUGCUCCGGUCCUUGCCAUCUACACGUUGGCGAAGGGGCUGGACCCACAAAAGAAAAAAACCUUGACCUCAAAUCGGGUGAGACUACCCGCUGAACUUAA
rnacentral:misc_RNA from 2 species